CCUACCUAUCUAUCUCUUUCACCAGCUUCACUGAACGGCCACCUAGACCUUUCGUUUACGGUAUGUCUAGUAUUUUCUUUGUUACUUGUCAUUUUGCUAUCGAUCUUUUCUCUGGUAUUCAAUUUUGUUCAAGUUGGGCUAAAGUCUAAACCAGCCCAUAGAUACUGUUACAUAGAUAUUGUCCCCUUUGGCUAAGCUCAAAGAGAGUAUAGACACCAUGUAAGAGUAUCUUACAUUCCAAUAGGCUCCCAAUCAUUCCAGCUACCAAUGUGGGACGUUGUUCGCACACCCAACAAUCUUUCCCUCAAGCUUAGUUCCACUUGGCCUAUUGCCACAAUCUACGGACCAAUUUUCAAGAUUCACUGUGUGCCACUCACAUUGUUAGACUAUUAUGGCAAGUGAAGCCCGCAACUAACUUCUUCUUGUGUGUGCGUCUCCAAGCUUGUAAGGUUAAGUAGAUCGAGCCCCACACCAUCACUUCGCCAUCGCCAUAUUAGCCCCGUCAAACUUGGGCUCUAAUACUAAUUGUUGGGAUCAACCAUCUCGAACAUACUUCCAAAUGGUGUAAUAUUAUCCGUAUUGGGUCAAGUCCACACGAUUUUUCCCCAUAAGUCCUUACACCACUAAGAGGUCCCUACACCUUAUAUGUAGGCUCCUAAUCUUUUCAGCUACCAAUGUGGGACUUUGUUCGCAUACCCAACAAUCUCUCCGAACUAGGUUCCACGUCCCAUCACGACCCACAGGUCUCCCACGAGAUUCACUGUGUGCCACCCACAUCGUCAAAGUACUAUGGCAACCGAAGCCUGCAACUAGCUUUUUCUUGUGUGUGCAUCUCCAAACUUGUAAUGGUAAAGCAAAUCGAGCCCCUCACCAUCACUUUGCCAUCCCCAUGUUCGUCUCGCCGAACUUGGGCUCUGUACCAGAUGUUGGGCUUAAUCAACCCGCAUAUAGUUUUAACAUGGUGUGAUAUUAUCUGCUUUGGGCCAAACCCGCAUGAUUUUCUCAAUCUGACAAGGACGAUAAUUUUUUUUUUUCAAAUCUAUUAGAACAAUGGGUUUUCCAAACCGAUAGGGAUUAUGAAUUUUCUAAAAAUAAAAAUACAAGAAAAUAAUUCAAGCCGUAAAUAAUAAAUCUUCCUCUUGACUUGAAUUUCUCUUCGUCAAUAGGAACAACGUCUCUCUGCCUUGCCCUCAACCCUCGCAAGGGCUCUACCCAUUACUCCACACAUCACUCUAAGGGGUCGUUUGGUAGGAGGUAUAAGAAUAGUGCUGAAUAGAGUGUAUUAGAAAUGCUGGUAUUAGUUAUGGUGAUAUUAUUUUUUAUUCAUUGUUUGGUUUGGUGUAUUAAAGCAUAGCAUAAUUUUUUAAAAAUUAGGUGUUUACAAAAGUACCCUCCAUAAUUUUUAACUUUAGCUAUAAAAAUUAACUUUAUACAUAACAGAACAAGAAAGGCUGAGGCUUUUUAAGUGAUCCAUGAACUUAUAUGGAUCAAUACCAAAAUAAUAAUGCAAAAAUAAAUAAAUUAGUACUAUCAAAGAAUCAAGUUAUAACAAGUUUACUUUUUUUUUUUUUUUACAAAGGGCAAACCGAUAAAAUUGAUAGUUGAUAGUCCAACCAAAAUUGAAGAUUUACAGGUUCCAUGGUGAAUCAUGGCACCUGCAUUUCCCAAUUCCAAGCUUGGUAGCAUUCUAACUAACCUAAGAUUAAGAUAUUAAAUUACUUCAUGUAAGGAAAAAUUCAUAUCACAUAACCAAAACAAAGUUGAUAAAGUUGAUAGCAACACCCUUCCUUCCAAAAUGUCCACAUAACAAGUUUACUUUUGAUGCUCCCUAUGUUGCUCAAUGAAGUGAAUUUAGGUAAAGUUAUGACGUUAUUCAAAAUUAGAUGUUUCACACUCUUGGGCUACAUUCUGUGCAUAAUAAUCACUUGUUUGGAUCGAUAACAUGGCCUGUCACAUGGAAGUUGGUGGCCUCUUGCUCUUUGACUUCCAACCUCCUCAAGCAAACGAGAAUAUAUAGCUCUAAAAUGGAGCAACCUGCAUCAACAAAUUGAGAAUCAUGUUGUUUUCAGUAAUUUAUUCUUGGCAGUGGCCAAGUUGUGGAGAGAAAUUCAUCACUUCUUCCGUCACAAACAACUUAUCAAAUUAUAGAAAAAUUACCAAUGAAAAGUAAGAUUGGAGAGAAACAAAAAAGAAAUUAAAGAUCUGUCAUAACAGCUUUACAUAAUUACAUCAUAGAAUCUCAAAAGUUAAACGACUACAAAGAGUUUGAAGAACUACCAUAGCAGCUAUAUAAUUACAUAUGCAUUUAACAUUUACACUGGAGUUGAGCUAUUUAAUAAACAUUAGUUACACAAAAAAUCUAGCAUCCUCGUGCCCACACCAAUAACCAGAGGUAUCAAAAAAUGGCACUAUCGUCAAACUUUGAAGUUGUUAGCCAAGCAAAAAACUAUCAAACUAGUGCCACCACUUAUAUCCACAAGUUUACCAUACUUUUAAAGUUUAUCAUUGACGAGCAUCGACAUCAUUGUAUGGCGCUCAAAUUCACCCAUACGUAAAACAAUUCCAUCUUUUUGUCACCAUCACAGAGAAUCAUUGAAGCUUUGAUACGUUGCUCUAUGGUGUACAACUCAAAUACGGGAGAUUCAAGGAUAGAAUAUAUCUGACCACGAAUAUUGGAUCGGUCACGAUCCCCAAUCUUUUCAAUCAAGGCACCCAUUCUUUUGUCUUGACUUUCAGUAAAGUUUUUCAUAAUUUCCAUCAUACCUUUGAGAAAUGUCUCAUUAUCAUCCUCUACUGUUUUUUUUCUUUUCUUGCUUUUCUCUUUUUCGUUUACAUUAGAAGAGGACCUUUUAUCAUACGCACCUUGUUUAUGAGUUUGUUGGGAUCCAGGAUAUUCAUUUUCUGAUGCUCCGGCACUAGGUCCAGUUGCAUUUUCAGCUCCAGUAAAUGCGCUAGGUCCAGUGACAUUUUCAGCUCCAGGAAAUGAACUAGAUUCAGUGGCAUUUUCAGCUUCAGUAAAUGCACUAUAUCCAGUGGCAUUUUCAGCUUCUCCAGUAAAUACUUUAGGGCUAUGAUAAGUGUCAGCUUCUUCGUCUUCAUCAAUAUCGAUAGGAAAUCCCAAACUCAUUACAAACUUUUGGAGCUUGACUCUUUUGAAUUUCCUUAGAAGCAUCUAGCGGCCCUUCUGCGAACUCUCCGGUUGCUCUAUCCUUGCCAAAAAUUUCCUCCCAAUCCUCAAACAUCGGCCAUUUCUUAGUAUUCAUAUUUUUGGCUAGUGGAUCAAUCUAGAAAAUAAUUAAAAAAAUAUAGCAAUGUCGUAUUAGAAAAAUACAUAUAUAACGUAACAAAAUUUUAAUAACUUAAAGCAAAGUAUUAGUUACCUUUAUAAAGUCAUCCCAAAAUUUUGGAUCGUCUACUAUUAUAGCUCCAUCACUAUAUUGAAAUCCCAAACCACUUCGAUUUUUUAGCGAAGCUAUACUUCCAUAACAUCUCUUCCAAUAUCUUAUUUUAUUUUUGAUAUGUGGAUCACCUUUCAAUCCGCUUUUAGGAUGUUGUUUGCGUAUGUAGCGCUCUAACUCCAUCAAGUGCCCCGGCCUAAAGGUUCCAUUAUCAGCUCUCCAACCCUUAACACACAACUCUUUCAACCCAUCUAAAAGAGUGUGUUCUUCUUUUGGAUUCCACAUCCUUCUUGUUGAAGGUGUUGAGUUGCUUGGUUUUUUUGACACCUUGUUUGAAGAUGUUUGACUAUUCAUUUUGCCCGUAAAAUCUUGUGAAAUACAUUACCAAGAAAAUCAGGAAAAAGAACAAAACAUUAUAGUAGCUUCAGAAAGAUUUCAAUAUAUCAUAGAUGCAUUUUUAUACUAAUACACUUUACAACGAUAGAAGAAUGAGCAAUUAAGCUCACAAACGUCAACUGAUUCAACUAGUCUUCAUUAUAGAUUAAAACAUACGACAUCAAGAGAUGUAGACAGUACAUAAGGAUGUGCAAUUAAGCUCACAAAAAAUUAGAAGUGUCUAGUAGCUAUACAAUUUAUACUAGGCUAAUUCAAAAGAGCUAAUGAAGUCGAAAAAGUUUUAUAUAGCUAACAGGCUGUAUUUUAGACCAAUAAGCACUAUACAGUGAAGUAGCACAUUGCCAAUGCUCUCAACUUCCAUUUGAAAUGGAUAAUUUUUUUUGUGAAAUUGAUCAAUUGUUAGAUCUUGCAUUCCACAUUGAUUGAGCCAACUCAUCCCUCCAAGUGGUCCACUCCUGGGACGAUUCAACAAUAUCAAUAUUUUCAUGUUGGUACUCCAUUUGUUCUUCCAUAUCAAUGUCUAAGGGAUCCACUUCCAUCUCUCUGCGGAUAAAGUUGUGAAUCAAGCAACAAGCACUAAUGAUCCUGUUAUGAACCUUAACUGAGUACCACGAAGAACUUCUAAGAAUUCCCCAACGUCCUUUCAGCAGACCAAAUGUCCUUUCAAUAACAUUACGAGCCCUAGCAUGUCUCAUAUUGAAAAGCUCUUCUUUACAUCGAGGCAAUGGAUUGUCACCUUGCCAAUCCUUUAACCAAUAUCUAUAUCCUCGAUAAGGUGAAAGAAAACCUUUUCCGUUCGUAUAUCCUCCAUCGCACAAAUAAUAAUUAUCUAUAAUAUAGAAAUACAAUUUAGUUACUUUCAUAUCUAAUUCUUUUUGUGAUGUAACUUGAAAGCAUAGACAUGGCAUACCCUCGUGGAUUUUUAAACCAUUCCUUCUUGCUACAACAUCUCGUAAUACACGAUCGUCGGCAGCUGAACCUUCCCAACCAGGUAACACAUAAGUAAAAUUGAGGUUUCUAUCACAAACUCCUAAUACAUUAGUUGCUAUCUCUCCCUUCCUUGUCCUGUAUCUUGGUUUGUACUGGGAUGGAACUCUAAUUUGUAUAUAAAUACCAUCUAGUGCACCUAAACAACCCUAUAAGAUGAAUUAUAGUGUUAUCUCAAAAUAUAAAAAAUCUUUGUAAAACUGUAAAAACUGCAUUUAGUUUUAUACAUAAAUUAGUAGAUGCCAAACUGAAUUUUCACCUACCUUAAACCAUUUCCAUCGAUCUUCAAUCUCAUCCUCAAGCACCGGUUUAGGAUCAACAAGUAACAAUGGAGUUAGUUUGAGAAUAGCACUCAAACAUUCAUUGAAAGCCUGACUUACGCUCCAUCCCGAUCUAAUAUAAUCAACCUUGAUAGAUCUAUUCUUCUCAUGAUGAGCCAAGAUAUUUAAAAACAUUGCUAACUUUUCGCUACUUGACAUACUUUUACUAUCGGUCAAACGUCCAAUAUCCUUAGUUAAGAGAACUAAAGUGUGAAAGGCAUUUCUAUCCAUUCUUAAUUUAUCGAUACAUACACUAUCAUUGUCAUUUAUGAUAGAAUGUAAGUGAGAAAUAAUUUUCGGUACUCGAACACUCAUACAAUAUCUAAUCUCCCGCCUGUUUCGACAUCGUCUUCUUAGAGAAUGACCAUGACUAGCCAUGAAAAGGCAAAUAAGGACAACAAGAAAUUGCUGGCACAUUAUCUCCUCAAGGAUAAUAUAUUCAGUACUUGAUAGUGGUUGAAGAUCCAUAAUAACACCUAAUUUUUCCAUGAACAAUGAAAAGAAUGAAUACACAUAAAUUUAAUACUAUGCUAUUUGGUAGAGAAAGAACUGUACCGAACUUGUAAAAUUGGGGUAGAAAGAGAAAACAAUGAGUAAAGAACAAAUCAUUUCAAAAGGAAGCUGCAGGAAUGAAAUUACCAGAAAAUAAGAACCAAUUUUACAAAUUACCUCAAAUAUUAGUUCUUGAAUAUAGAAACACACCCCAAAUAAACAAAGAAACCAGUAGUUAGUGUCUUCACUCCAUGAGUCGUUCAAAAGGAGGGGGGAGGGGGGGGGGGGGGAAGAACAAAAUUACUGAAAAUCCUUUUACCUGUACGCGUCACUUUGAUCUCUGAAGGGGAAAAUGAAGAAGAAUAGGAUUUGGCUGCAUUCAACUGUGCUUUUCCAUGGCCAAAGCGGAGGAAAUCUGUUUGCUAAAAAUAUGAGGAAAGGAUUUUAUUAGGGAUUUGAGGGGGGCAAUUAGGUCUUUAACCAUGUUUAUGCAAGCAUUAAAAACCCUUGCAUUACUAAUGUCGUGGUUUCCAAUGCAUUGCUUAUACAUAGCAUAAUACCAAGUAUAAUGUAUAACUAAUACAAGUAUUAGUUAUACAUAGGUUGAAAACAUAUACCAAAUAAGGUAUUAAUAAUACACAGAGCUAAUGCUUGCAUUAUUUUUUCUAAUACCUCCUACCAAACGACCCCUAAGUCUAGGCAAUGCCUAAACUUGUUAAGAGACCCAAUCUCUUCAGCUAUUCCACCAAUCCAUCGAUCUGGUUCUAUACUCGAAAUAGCUUCUGAAUAGAUAUUACACUCAAGCACAUCAACGGUCUCUGCAACUGACAAAGCAAAUCCCACAUAAUUUGUAUAUCUGAGAAGAUUUUCACCAACUAUUUUUUGCCUGUGUGGUCGGUUGAUCACUCCUUCUCUCUGCCUAUUGCAAUGCUAUAUGGUUUAUGUUGCAUAUAUUCAUUAAUAUUAUCAUCUUGAUCAAUAUUUUGCACCUCUUCCACUUCCUCUACUUCUGAACUACUUGGUUGAGCUAGUGGAGAUUCAAUUUCUAGCUCUGACACCAUGAUUUGUUUUUGCUAUUGCUUUCUCCCUCUGACUGUCCAGUGAGGCAGAUUCCUUAAAUGUCAACUGUAACUUUUCACUCCAGUUGCAUAUCUUAGAAAUAUGCACUUCUUUGCCCUCGGCUCAAGUUUGCCAUCCCACAAUGUUCAUUUGUGUUGUUUAAUCCUUUGGGUUUGAUACCUUUUUUCUUUUCUUUUCUGGAUUUGCUUGUUAUGUAAAUUCCAGGUUCUUUGUGUACAUGCAUGACAUCUAUGUAUACACUCUAAAAAAAAACCAUUUCACAUGCAUCCUCUUGCUCUUCCGCGUAGGUUCGAAUUCAGAUGUAAAAUUAAAACAAAAGUUAACCAACACAUGCACCAUUAUAUGUGGACAUUUAAUUUUGACACUGCAAGCUGCUGGGAUAUCUGAGAAUUUUUCACUUCUUUUUCUCCUUCAUAGCACAAAGAGAGGGAGAGAGAGUGAAAGGUUUGUGGAGUUAUCGAGAUGAGCAGCUUGUGUAGGGGUCUCACAAUUAAAGGAAUGUUCUUUUGCUUCUAUUAAAUACUUUCAGAUGAUGGAUGAAUUAUGCACUUGUAUGUAUGUAUACAUACUUCUGCAAUAUGUCAAUCUGUGCCUUCAAAAUUUGGGAAUUGGAUAUGGUCUUCUAACCUCUAUUUUUGUAAGAUGUUAUAUCUGAGAUACAACGUAUGAAAUGAUAAAUUGAUAAUUGCCGAGCAUGGUAACUUCAAUCUCAGCAGCAUUAAGUUGCCAGGUUGUUAUAUACUUCAAUAGAUACUUUAUAUGUUAUCCUUUAUGGAUUAGAAGGAGGACUAAUUAGGAACUUAAACCUCAUUCAUUUACCCCAGUAAAUGAUGCAAUUUCCCUUGUAGAUUUCAUUAGUUCUCUUACUUUAUUUUAACAAACAAGUUGUUUGAUCUUUGGAUUUAGCUCCCUGCUCCAAUUGUUGUUUUUGUACUCAGGAGCUACUCCAAACUUUUUUGUAAUUAUCUGCAUCUUCUUGAUGCCAUCAAUAUAAGACCUUACUUCAUCAAAAAUAAAAAUAAUAAUAAAAAAAUUAAACCUCAUUCAUCAUGCUCUACCUUUUUUUAGUGCCACUGCAUUUAACAAAAAGCAUGGGAAGCAGCUGUCUACAGAUGUUCAUUAUCUAAAUUUUAAAUCCCUUAUUAGUUUUCAAUUUGUGUCAUAAACUCCAAAUCUUAAACCAUAAUAUAGCUAAGAUAUCUGCUUCUGUGACUUGUAUCAAAUUAAAGGGGUAACGAUGCACAUUCACAUAAACCGAUGCAUAAAAUUGCACCACUCCAUCUUUAGGAUACUGUCUCAAUAAGGUUUUUAAAUCCUAUGUGUUACAUUUACGCUAAUCGUAUUUUUGUUAUUGUACAACAGUACAAGCAAUUCAUCACCACCUAUAUAUUGUUAAAUAACUAAUCUAUAUAGUACUUUCAUUUCAGGUCCCUAUAACCUUAUUUGGAUGUAGUUUCGAGUAAAAAUAAUUUAUCAUAUCUUAAUUAACCUAUUGCGGGGAUACAGCACUUUAAUUCCAAAGCUUCAUGAUUUCAAUAAUUGUUUCUCAACUGUAUCGUUUGCUUUGUCCGUUAAAAAUAUGCACUAUUUUGUAAAAGUAGAAGUCAAGGAAGGAAAGCAGAUCAAUAAUAAUGCUGCAACUCUAAGCUUCUGUUCAAGUAGCUGCAAUUGAAUAUAUAUAUAUAUAUAUAUAUAUAUAUAUAUAUCUUUCUCUUGCUAGAGUUUUCAGAAAGGUCUAUCAGUUUAUCUUCAAUUUUUGGUACAUGAAUGCCUCCGGCUAGUUGUGCUUCACUGUAGAUAUUUGUUUCAACUAAAAACCGUGUAUCUGGCAUUCUUAUAGUGCUUUGAUUGCUUAAACUUAAGCAGCCUGAAAAGAAGCUGAAUGCAAUAUUGAGUAUGAACACCUCUUGUAUGUGAAGUGAUUGCCAUAUCAAAGUUUAUACCUUUUUCCUUCUUUUAAUUGGAAGAUAAUUUUGUUGCUGUGUAAAUUAGACGUCUUGAUUCUUUUGUUGAUGAGCAUACUAAGAGGCAUGUGAUCUUUGUUGUAGAAGUAGUGCAUAUUCUGUGUGUUAUAUAAUACUUGCAUGUUGAGUUUGUGAUAUGACUAACCUUACAUAUUAGAGGUCAAACUUUCAUACAUCUGCUGACCUUUCUUAAUUUAUUACUGUAUAUAUACCAUGACAGGAGCAAAGGAAGGUCUCUUUCGCCUACGAGCAUUUGUAUGAAGAAAGGAGUCUCGUACAAAGGGUUGGAAAGAAGGCCUUUUCGUUUGGUUUGAACCAAUCUUUCGUCGUUUGCAGUCCUCUUUUUCUUCCUUCUAACACCGCCUAUAUCCCGAGGA
rnacentral:lncRNA from 1 species